rnacentral:lncRNA from 1 species
GCCACUGUGGCCCAACAGACCAGUCCUUGGACCCUGUUUCAGAACCAUUGGAGAACUGUGAAAAAAAAGUGAAGGAAGCCUUGGAUGGGGUUUUUAGAACAUUGUUUCAGAUGGAACUUCUUUUUCCAAGCCAAGUUUAAAAUUCCAUUUAUAUUUGGGGUAUUAACUCAUUUUGAUUUUGAUUUAUUUCCUGAUUUUCACAAAAGGAAUGAUUCAUUUAUAAAUCACAGAAGAACAUUACAGUAUCUCUGGGAUGGUUUAACACAGUUUAAUGGUUUAAUGGAGUUUUAAAAUCUUUGAGAACAUUUACUCAGUGAAUAUAUGUGAUAACAUCUUCAUAGUUUGACAACCAUUCCAUUUACCCUUUUAGAUAUUUGAUAGGAAUUAAUUCAACUCAUAAUACUUCCAUUUUGCUUAAAUAAAGGUUUUAUUUUGCUGGUAGGAGAAGUUAGUUAUUAAAUGCACCAGGUAUAAAGUAAAAGAUGGUUUACCCACGUGGUUUUGAUAUCACGCACAUUCCCCAGAUGCAGUGUUUAACCUUGACUCAUCACCAGGGUCUAGACUCAGAUUAGUAAAUAUUCCUCUCUCACAAUUAAAAUGAUCAAUUUCCCAUCAGUCUGUUGCUUUAAAUUUUAUUUCUUCAAGAGAAACUUUCCACAGAAUUAAGAAAAAUAAUAAUGCAUCCAUAUUCAGGGUGUAGGGAAAAUUCUUUCCAUUUCAAGCUCUGUCCACCCGUCACCAGCACAAGAGAAGUAGAGCUUCCCUGGGAAUUACGAAGCUGUGCUCAAGUGAAAUGCUUUUUUCCUCACUCUCGUUUGAGGCCCUGCAUACAUUGACUAACUCACCGUAUUCCUGCUCUGGAGAUGCAGACGCAGUGUUGGUCACACUUGUCACUUUAUAUAUUUAUUUUUUUUCUACCAUCCAUGUACAUUCCUUUCACAGGGGUAGAAUCAUAGGUCUAGAAGUUCAUUGUCUUGUUUUUUGUUGUAAUGUUUGAACACUAUUUAAUAUCAGGUUUUAAUAUUGCUGGAUUUGCUACCUUUUGUUACUUGUGCAGUGUUAAUAGUAAUAAUUCACAUUCUUGUUUAAUAUACCAGCUAUAGAGCAAAAGCAGCUUUGAAUAAUUAUAGCUGUUUAUUUGACUGUGCUGAAUUAUUCCGUUAAGAUCUUGUAUAACAGUAACUUUUUUCUUUUGCUUUUUCAGUAAUUUAAUAUGUUCAUUUACCAAAAUAUGAACUUCAGGAUGCACUAAAAUUUUGUUUUUGCAGUGGCUCAAAAAUAAACAUUUCAGAAAUUACUUUUGUAAUAAUUUGCGAUCAAUUGUUCUUUUAUUUUUUCCAAUUGUUUAAGUCUGUGAUGUUUCUCUCCCAAUUAAGAAUUUCCCAAUAAACUUAAGAGAUGCCUGAC